UACAGAGGUCCCGAGCGUUGUUCGGAUUCACUGGGCGUAAAGGGCUUGUAGGUGGCCAACUAAGUCAGACGUGAAAUCCCUCGGCUUAACCGGGGAACUGCGUCUGAUACUGGAUGGCUUGAGUGUGGGAGAGGGAUGCGGAAUUCCAGGUGUAGCGGUGAAAUGCGUAGAUAUCGUAAGGAAGACCAAUGGCGAAGGCGGGUCUCUGGACAGUUCCUGACACUGAGACACGAAGGCCAGGGGAGCAAACGGG
rnacentral:rRNA from 1 species